UCAUUCAAUUUCCAUUUUGCUUUAAUUAAAAAGUAGUCUGCUCCUUUCCACACCUAAUUGCAAUACCACUCUCUUCAUUGUUGCUGUUGCUUAAUCCUUUUGUCUUUCCCCAUCUCUUCGACUCACUACCUCUUUCCAUUUUAUCAUCCAUUCCUAACUUAGCUCUCAUUCACCUCUGAUUCCUUCAGCGUCUCUCUGUUUGGAACCCAAACUCUGCUCCUUUCAUUUCCUCGGGCCUCUUCUUAAUUUCCUCUUAUUUUCUCACUUCCCAUCUGUUUUCCAACAUAACCAAAUUCCCAAAAAAAAAAAAAACCACCAUCUGUCUUCAUAGCUUGGUAAUCUACUCUUCACAUUCGGUCUCACAUCAGGAUCUGCUUGCAAAACACCAACUUCCUUUGUUCUCGUUUUGUCACACAUUUUUUCUACCUUCACUCAUAUUCGCUACUGAUUCUGCUUUUCAUUCUGUUGGUGAGCGUCUCUCUGCUUGGAACAAAUACUCUGCUCCUUCCAUUUCUUCCACUCUCUUAUUUUAGUUUCCUUUUGCUCCUGCUUUCAUUUGUUUCUGUUUUUUUUCAUCAUUUCCCUUCUGUUUUCCCAACAAAACCACACACACACCAAAAAAAAAAAAGAAAAAAAAUCCAACUGAGACAAAAUGACAGAGAUCAUUAUUGCCGUUGCUGCAAAAGUUUCAGAGUACUUGGUUGCUCCAAUUGGACGCCAGCUUAGUUAUCUGUUUUGCUACGGCGGCCACAUGGAUGAUCUCAACAAGAAGGUUCAGGAGUUGGGGCUUGCAAAGGAUGACCUUCAGAUUACUGUUGAUGAAGCUAUUAGAAGAGGGGAUGAAAUCAGACCUAUUGUUCAAGACUGGCUGACUCGGGCAGACAAGAAUACAGGGGAGGCAAAGAAAUUCAUGGAAGAUGAAAAGAAAAGAACCAAGAGCUGUUUCAAUGGGUGGUGUCCUAAUCUCAAGUCACGGUACCUGCUAAGCAGGGAAGCAUACGAGAAGGCGCAGGUUAUUGAUAAAGUUCAAGAAGACCGCAAAUUCCCCGAUGGUGUAGCAUAUUGUGUCCCUCUACGGAAUGUAACCUUUAAAAAUUAUGAACCUUUUGAAUCAAGAGCCUCGACUGUGAACAAAGUUAUGGAUGCAUUAAGAGCUGAUGAGAUCAACAAGAUUGGGGUAUGGGGCAUGGGCGGUGUGGGCAAAACCACGCUGGUCAAACAAGUGUCUCAACUAGCUGAAGAUGAGAAGCUGUUCAUCACACGAGUCUACGUAGAUGUAUCCUGGACUCGAGAUUCGGAAAAACUUCAAGAUGGAAUUGCUAAAAUUCAACAAAAAAUUGCAGACAUGUUAGGCUUGGAAUUUAAGGGGAAGGAUGAAUCCACAAGAGCAGCUGAACUGAAGCAGAGACUGCAGAAAGAGAAGAUCCUUAUCAUCUUAGAUGACAUUUGGAAGGAAGUUAGUUUGGAGGAAGUUGGAAUUCCUUCUAAAGAUGACCAGAAAGGAUGCAAAAUAGUGAUGGCUUCUAGAAAUGAAGACCUAUUACGCAAAGACAUGGGCGCAAAAGAAUGUUUUCCACUUCAACAUUUACCAGAAAAAGAAGCUUGGAAUUUAUUUAAGAAGACAGCAGGUGAUUCUGUGGAGGGGGAUAAACUGCAACACAUAGCAAUUGAGGUGGUUAACGAAUGUGGGGGUCUACCAAUUGCAAUUGUAACAAUUGCAAAUGCAUUAAAAGGUGAAUGUGUGGCCAUAUGGGAGAAUGCUUUGGACGAACUGAGGAGUGCUGCACCGACAAACAUCAGCGGAGUGGAUGACAAGGUAUACGGAUGUCUGAAGUGGAGCUACGACCAUUUGAAAGGUGAUGAAGUCAAGUCAUUGUUCUUACUUUGUGGUUGGUUGAGCUAUGGCGAUAUUUCAAUGCAUCAAUUGUUACAGUAUGCGAUGGGUUUGGAUUUGUUUGACCACAUCAACUCAUUGGAGAAAGCAAGAAAUAAACUAGUUACAUUGGUGAGAACCCUCAAAGCCUCAAGCUUGUUACUCGACGGUGAAGAUCAUAGAAACGGUAUUGGAGGAGCCUCAAGGUUGCUUUUCAUGGAUGCUGAUAACAAGUCUGUCAGGAUGCAUGAUGUUGUUCGUGACGUUGCCAGAAAUAUUGCAUCCAAGGAUCCUCAUCGAUUUGUAGUUAGAGAACAUGAUGAAGAAUGGUCAAAGACUGAUGGAUCCAAAUACAUCUCUUUAAAUUGCGAAGAUGUGCAUGAGCUUCCUCACAGGUUGGUAUGUCCAGAACUUCAAUUUUUACUAUUGCAGAACAUCAGUCCUACCUUGAAUAUCCCACACACAUUUUUUGAAGGGAUGAACCUACUCAAAGUUUUAGACUUGUCUGAAAUGCAUUUCACAACACUACCUUCAACGCUUCAUUCCCUUCCAAAUCUUCGAACAUUACGUCUAGACAGGUGCAAGUUGGGAGACAUAGCUCUAAUUGGAGAGCUAAAGAAACUACAAGUUCUUAGCAUGGUGGGUUCCGAUAUUCAACAAUUGCCUAGUGAAAUGGGGCAGUUGACGAAUCUAAGGUUGUUGGAUUUGAACGAUUGUUGGGAGCUUGAUGUAAUUCCACGAAAUAUCUUAUCAAGCCUGUCUCGAUUAGAAUGUUUGUGCAUGAAACGGAGCUUUACUCAAUGGGCAGCUGAAGGAGUUAGUGAUGGAGAAAGCAAUGCUUGUUUAUCGGAGCUGAAUCAUUUGCGCCAUUUGACAACUAUAGAGAUACAAGUGCCAGCUGUCGAGUUGCUACCAAAAGAAGACAUGUUCUUUGAGAACUUGACAAGAUAUGCAAUAUUUGAUGGCAGUUUUUAUUCAUGGGAAAGAAAGUAUAAAACAUCAAAACAAUUAAAGCUGAGACAGGUUGAUUUACUUUUAAGGGAUGGAAUUGGAAAGUUGUUGAAGAAAACUGAAGACCUAGAGUUGAGUAAUUUGGAAGAAGUAUGUCGUGGCCCAAUUCCCCCAAGGUCUUUGGAUAACUUAAAAACUUUACAUGUGGAGGAAUGUCAUGGAUUGAAAUUUCUCUUCUUACUUUCCAGAGGCCUUUCCCAACUGGAAGAAAUGACAAUAAAACAUUGCAAUGCCAUGCAACAAAUAAUCACAUGGGAAGGGGAGUUCGAAAUAAAAGAAGUUGAUCAUGUUGGGACCGACUUGCAACUGCUCCCUAAAUUACAAUUUUUGAAACUUAGGGAUCUACCAGAGCUCAUGAAUUUUGACUACUUCGGCUCUAAUUUGGAAACGGCAUCGCAAGGAAUGUGUUCCCAAGGCAAUCCUGAUAUCCACAUGCCAUUUUUCAGUUAUCAGGUUUCAUUCCCUAAUUUGGAGAAAUUGAUACUUCAUGAUCUUCCCAAAUUGAGGGAGAUAUGGCAUCACCAACUUCCACUUGGGUCCUUCAACAAUUUGAAAAUCUUAAAAGUUCAGAAUUGUCAAGGCCUAUUCAAUCUUAUUCCAUCUCAUUUGAUACAGAGAUUCGACAAUUUGAAAGAAUUAGAGGUGAAUAAUUGUGAAGUCCUAAAACAUGUGUUUGAUCUUCAAGGACUUGAUAGAAAUAUUAGGAUUCUCCCAAGGUUAGAAUUCUUAAAGUUAAAUGUACUACCUAAGUUGAGGCGUGUCGUAUGCAAUGAGGAUGAGGACAAAAAUGAUAGCGUGAGGUGUCUUUUCUCUUCUUCCACGACUUUUCAGAACCUUAAAUUCCUAUCCAUCAAAUAUUGUGGGUACAAAGUUGAAGAUGAAGAAGAUAUCAGUACUCCUAAGGAAGAUGUAGUGCUCUUUGAUGGAAAGGUUUCAUUCCCUAAUUUGGAGAAGUUGAUACUUCAUUAUCUUCCCAAAUUGAGGGAGAUAUGGCAUCACCAACAUCCACCUGAGUCCUUUUACAAUUUGCAAAUCCUAGAAGUAUACAAUUGUCCAAGCCUACUCAAUCUUAUUCCAUCUCAUUUGAUACAGAGAUUCGACAAUUUGAAAAAAUUAGAGGUGGAUAAUUGUGAAGUCCUAAAACAUGUGUUUGAUCUUCAAGGACUUGAUGGAAAUAUUAGGAUUCUCCCAAGGUUAGAAUCCUUAAAGUUAAAUGAACUACCUAAGUUGAGGCGUGUCGUAUGCAAUGAGGAUGAGGACAAAAAUGAUAGCGUGAGGUGUCUUUUCUUUUCUUCCACGGCUUUUCAGAACCUUAAAUUCCUAUACAUCAAAUAUUGUGGGUACAAAGUUGAAGAUGAGGAACAUAUCAGUACUCCUAAGGAAGAUGUAGUGCUCUUUGAUGGAAAGGUUUCAUUCCCUAAUUUGGAGAAGUUGAUACUUCAUGAUCUUCCCAAAUUGAGGGAGAUAUGGCAUCACCAACUUCCACUCGUGUCCUUCCACAAUUUGCAAAUCCUAAAAGUAUACAAUUGUCCAGGCCUACUCAAUCUUAUUCCAUCUCAUUUGAUACAGAGUUUGGACAAUUUGAAAGAGAUGGUCGUGGAUAACUGUGAAGUCCUAAAACAUGUGUUUGAUUUUCAAGGACUUGAUGGAAAUAUUAGGAUUCUCCCAAGGUUAGAAUCAUUACGGUUAGAGGCACUACCUAAGUUGAGGCGUGUUGUAUGCAAUGAGGAUGAUGACAAGAAUGAUAGCGUGAGGUGUCGUUUCUCUUCUUCCACGGCUUUUCACAACCUUAAAUUCCUAUCCAUCACAAAUUGUGGGAACCAAGUUGAAGAUGAGGGACAUAUCAAUACUCCUAUGGAAGAUGUAGUGCUCUUCGAUGGAAAGGUUUCAUUCUCUCCUAAUUUGGAGGAGUUGGUUUUAGAAAGACUUUCCAAGUUGAAGGAGAUGGAUAUUGGGAUCUUCUUAAAGUUAAAAAUUCUGAAGUUAGAGAAACUACCCAGGCUAAGACUUACGGUUGCUUCCAUGUUCAAGAAUUUUCACAAUCUCCAAAAGCUACAUAUCAUUGAUUGUGGGAUGGAAGACGGGGAAGAUGUCAAUACUCCUAGUAAUGAUGUAGUGUUCUCCAAUGAAAAGGUUUCAUUCUCUCCUAAUUUAGAGGAGUUGGUUCUAAAAAACCUUCCCAAUUUGAUAGAGAUGGAUGUUGGGAUCCUCCCCGAGUUAAAAAUCUUGAAGUUAGAGGAACUACAUGGAUGUCUUUUGUCUAAGGUUUCACUUUCUCCUAAUUUGGAGGAGAUAGUUCUAAAAAGUCUUCCAAAAUUGGAGGAGAUAGAUUUUGGGAUCCUCCCAAAGUUAAAAUUCCUAAAGGUUGAGAAACUACCUCAAUUAAUUUUGUCUUCUUCAAUGUUCAAGAAUUUUCACAAUAUCAAAGAGUUGCGUAUCAUUGAUUGUGGGAUGAAAGACAUGAGAGGUGUCAAUACUUCUACUAAUGAUGAAGUGCUCUUCAAUGAAAAGGCUUCAUUCCUUGAAUCAAGAGCCUCCACUCUGAACGAUAUUAUGGAUGCCUUAAGAGACCACAAUAUCAACUUGAUUGGAGUAUGGGGCAUGGCCGGUGUGGGCAAAACAACACUGCUGAAACAAGUGGCUCAACAAGCUAAGCAACAACGGUUGUUCACCAGACAAGCCUAUGUGGAUUUAUCCUCCAUUUCAGGCUUGGAAACACUUCGACAAAAAAUUGCAGAAGCGUUGGGCCUACCACCUUGGAAGCGCAAUGCGGAUGAACUGAAGCAGUUACUGAAGGAAGAGAAGAUCCUUAUUAUCUUAGAUGAUAUUUGGACGGAAGUUGAUUUGGAGCAAGUCGGAAUUCCUUCUAAAGAUGAUAUUUGGACGCAAUGCAAAAUAGUGUUGGCUUCGAGAGAUAGAGACCUAUUAUGCAAAGGCUUGGGCGCACAAAUUUGUUUUCCAGUGGAAUAUUUACCACUAGAAGAAGCUUGGAGUUUGUUUAAGAAGACAGCAGGUGAUUCCAUGGAGGAGAAUCUUGAACUGCGACGCAUAGCCAUUCAAGUAGUUGAAGAAUGUGAGGGUCUACCAAUUGCAAUUGUAAUAAUUGCCGAGGCAUUAAAAGAUGAGACCAUGGUUGUAUGGAAGAAUGCCUUGGAACAACUUAGGAGUUGUGCACCAACAAACAUUAGAGCAGUGGAUAAGAAGGUUUACUCAUGUCUGGAGUGGAGCUACACCCAUUUGAAGGGUGAUGACGUUAAGUCAUUGUUCUUACUUUGUGGGAUGCUGGACUAUGGUGAUAUUUCAUUGGAUCUCUUGUUACGAUAUGGUAUGGGUCUGGAUUUGUUUGAUCGCAUCGACUCAUUGGAGCAAGCAAGAAAUAGGCUACUUGCAUUGGUGGAUUUCCUCAAAGCCUCAGGCUUGUUACUUGACAGUCAUGAAGAUAGAAACAAGUUUGAUGAAGAAAGAGCUUCAAGUUCGCUUUUCAUGGAUGCUGAUAACAAGUUUGUGAGGAUGCAUAGUGUUGUUCGUGAAGUUGCCAGAGCAAUUGCAUCCAAGGAUCCUCAUCCAUUUGUAGUCAGAGAAGAUGUUGGAUUGGAAGAAUGGUCAGAGACUGAUGAAUCCAAAAGGUGCGCUUUCAUCUCUUUGCAUUGCAAAGCUGUGCAUGAGCUUCCUCAAGGGUUGGUAUGUCCGGACCUUCAAUUUUUCCAAUUGCAUAACAACAAUCCUUCCUUGAAUAUCCCGAACACAUUUUUCAAAGGGAUGAAAAAACUCGAAGUUUUAGAUUUGCCCAAAACGCAUUUUACAACGCUACCUUCAUCACUUGAUUCCCUUACAAAUCUCCAAACAUUGCGUCUAGAUGGGUGCAAGUUGGAAGACAUUGCUCUAAUUGGAAAGCUAACAAAACUAGAAGUUCUUAGCUUGAUGGGUUCUACAAUCCAACAAUUGCCUAAUGAAAUGUCGCGAUUGACCAAUCUAAGGCUGUUGGAUUUGAAUGAUUGUGAGAAGCUUGAAGUAAUUCCACGAAAUAUCUUAUCAAGUUUGUCUCAAUUAGAAUGUUUGUACAUGAAAUCUAGCUUUACUCAAUGGGUAACUGAAGGUGAAAGCAAUGCUUGCUUAUCCGAGCUAAAUCAUUUGUCUCAUUUGACAACUUUAGAGAUAUAUAUACCAGAUGCCAAGUUGCUCCCAAAAGACAUUCUAUUUGAGAACUUGACAAGAUAUGCGAUAUCUAUAGGUACUCGGUGGAGGUUGAGAACCAAAAGAGCAUUGAACCUCGAGAAAGUCAAUAGAAGCUUACAUUUGGGGGAUGGAAUGAGCAAGUUGUUGGAGAGAAGUGAAGAACUAAAGUUCAUGAAAUUAAGUGGUACUAAAUAUGUUCUUCACCCAUCAGAUAGGGAGAGUUUCCUUGAACUAAAGCAUCUCGAAGUUGGUUAUAGUCCUGAGAUUCAAUACAUCAUGGAUUCAAAGAAUCAAUGGUUUCUGCAACAUGGUGCCUUUCCUCUAUUGGAGUCAUUGAUUCUUAGGUCUCUGAAAAAUUUGGAAGAAGUAUGGCAUGGCCCAAUUCCAAUAGGGUCUUUUGGUAACUUAAAAACUCUAAAAGUGCUUUUUUGUCCUAAAUUGAAAUUUCUCCUUUUGCUCUCCACGGCUAGAGGCCUUUCCCAACUUGAAGAAAUGACAAUAGAAUACUGCAAAGCCAUGCAACAAAUAAUCGCAUAUGAAAGGGAGUCAGAAAUAAAAGAAGAUGGACAUGCUGGGACCAACUUGCAACUAUUCCCAAAAUUGCGAUCCUUGAUACUCAAGGGACUACCACAGCUCAUCAACUUCAGUUCCGAGUUAGAAACAACAUCUUCCACAUCUUUGAGUACAAAUGCAAGGUCGGAAAACUCAUUUUUCAGUCAUAAGGUUUCAUUCCCUAAGAUAGAGAAGUUGAUACUCUAUGAUGUGCCCAAGUUGAAUCUUUCUUCAAUCUACGGAUCUUAAGGGUGUAGGAAUGUCCAUGUCUACUCAAUCUUGUCCCAGCUCUUUUGAUACACAACUUCCAGAAUUUUAAAAAGAUAGAUGAGCAAGAUUGUGAACUCCUAGAGCAUGUGAUUGUUCUUCAAGAAAUUGAUGGAAAUGUUGAGAUCCUCUCAAAGUUAGAAACCUUGAAAUUGAAGAACUUGCCUAGGCUAAGAUGGAUUGAAGAUGGGAAUGAUAGGAUGAAACAUAUUUCCUCUCUUAUGACACUCAUGAAUAUUCAAAACCUUCAAGAACUACAUAUCAUUGAUUGUAGUAUGGAAGACCUGCGGAAGAUGCAAUACUCUUUUGUGAGAAGGUACAUUGGAUUUCCUUUAUUUUCUGCUCUAUUUGAGAUGAAGUACAAAUGCAGCCUUUGAAAGAGAAAUUAUUAAUGAUGUUUGAGAAAUUGUCAAUGAUGUUUCCUUUAAUCAUUUCCUUCAUUUGAUAGAAUUUAUUUAUUCAAGCACAUGUUAAAUUUUCAUAUGCAUUUUGUUUUGUUCAUUGUUAUAUCCCUAAUAAAAUUGUUUGUUAAGUGUGUGGUCUUGCACAA